rnacentral:lncRNA from 1 species
UCCUACAAUCCAUUUCCAAAACAAGUCAAAGACUAUUCAUUAGUCAUUAUAAUGAAAAUGAUAGCUAGAUCAGUGGCUGCUGUAACUAUUAGAUUAAAAAUAGUGUGUACCUGCAUGUGACAGGCAACUCUUCUGGAUCAAAGUAAUCAGGAGCCAUAGUGACAAACAAUGUAUCCCUCCAACAAGUGUUAGGUGCUACAUAAAGAUCAAAGUUGCUGUUAAAUACCACUUUUUUGUUCAUGGCUCGAGUAUAAUACUGUGCUUUCACUUCAUUUGGUUCCUCCACGAAACCGCGUACAGCUUCAGUCAUCUCAUCCAUAAUACUUAAUGGAAUUCCAUGGUUCAACAACUGAAAGAAACCCCAUGUUUCCGAUGCAUCUUGGAUUUCUUUAACAACAAGAUUUCGUCGCUUGACAUCUAUAUCAAUCCCUUUAAGAUCUAUAACUGGAAGUCCCAAGUGAACAUUAUCUGAGACGACUGGCUUUGUAACCCGGCCAUCAGAUGGUGUGAUGAAUAUUCUAGGAACUUUGGUUACACCUUGGUCGACAAGUCCUUUCACCCCAGCUUUAGUAUCAUCAAACAACUUUAGUUCCUUUUGACGAUCAUAAUCCGAUGUAUUCAUCAUGGGAACUUCUUCUUCGUAUACCAUUUGCUUGGUUUUUAAACUGUCCAGAUCAAAAUGUAUGUCUAUGUAUAAAUAAAGACUAAAGAGAUAAGCUACCGAUAGAUAUACACGCAUACCCAGAUCAAUAAUUUGCAGUGGUCCACUUGUGAGAAAAUCUUCUGUGCAUACAAUCAUUGAUUCACCCAUCAUGAAUAAAUAAUUUGAAUAUUAUUGACAGCAAUGGGUUGGUGCAGAGUUGCCAUCUGUAGGCAAAAUACAAAACAUUGACAGCAAUGGGUUAUGGGUUGAUGCAGAGUUGCCAUAAUAAGUCCCUUUGUUUUGUGUAAGUUGAAUACCUACACUAGACACUAGAGUUUGUUUAUGCAGAUACAUAUUACAACUGCUUCACGUUCAAGGAGCUAGGCCUAUACACGUUAUUAUUAUUGAAGUGCGUGAACAAGGCAUAUUGCUACAAGCCUACAAAUCAACUGUCAUCAUGGAAGUGAGUGAUCGCAUUGUUCUGGCGUGCAGUCAUACAGAACAUAACCGCAAUGAUAGAUAAAAUGCUAAUACAGUAAUAAAGAAACUUUUAUCCACAACAAUGCAAAAACACAGAGUUCCAUGGUGGCCUUUACUUUUUAGGAGGGAUCUUUUUCAAAUAUGGAUUAACAGAUCCACGGUCUUUCUAGAUGGUCUUUUUCCGAUUCGAUAUUAGUUUUUCAUUUUUUCAAUUUUUUUUUGGGGUCCAUGGAAACUCACAACCACAUUAUGCAGAUUGCAUGAUUUGCGUCAUAUUAUUGCAGAGCACAGUUGCCAGUUUUUUUUUUUUUUGCAUUCUAGUAUUCUGCUCACUGCAGUUUUCUUGUACACAGGCAAUAUAACCUUAAUUUUUUGGGAUCAAUCUUUCACCAUUAAAAUGUGUGCCACCAAUAUUAUUAUACAUUUUCCUCGGCGUCAGUUGAAUGUGCAAUAUUAUUCUGAAAAGCUCAAAAUUGCCUGCACAAUAGAUAUGCUUUGUGUAAUGUAUGGGCAAGAGACAUCAUCCAUGUAAACCAGAGUUCCAUCACUGGGAAAGAUUCGAUACCAAUUAAGCCAUAGUGUAUUAAUUUGUCAUUAUUAGAACAAAUCCAUGUCUGAAAUAUACCGUACUUGGAGAAAUUUUUUGCUCUCAUACUUGAUACUAAUUAAAUUACUAACUUGCCAGAUCUUAGAUAUAUGAUUAUGUAAAUUAUUAACUUGCUCACCUCAAAAGAGAUGCUGCAGAAUGACGACAUAUAAGUCGUUCUAAGUACAAAUCAACCAAUAAUCUGGUGAGAGAUCUCAGAUAUCAAGUUCACAAGAUAUGACACUUUAAACAAUGCAUUUAUUUAUGUAAAACAUUUGACAACUUCGUUCCUGACUUGCAGAAAACACAAUGAAGAUGAUCUUAGAACUUGAAAUUUGUAAGAGAAGCAUUCACAUCAAGUCCUUUGGCAUUGUAGUUAGUAAUAUAAUCUCUAAUUGUGAAUUCCUUGUAUAUAGGAGGAUUUUCUUCUGAUAGUAACUCUUUGAUAGGACCAUAUUUCCUCGUCGAUUCCUUAAGUAAUGUACUGAAAAAGACUGCUACAGACAUUCUUGGACCUUCUUUGUUGGAUAUCACUCUGUGCUCGCAACUCUUGAGUUUAUCAUUAGAGACAAGCUGCAUCAACAUCAACAACUAAAACAGAUUGGUUGAAUGACAAUCGGAUGGAGAAAUAAGUUAUGGAAAAAUGUCAGAGUGAAUUACAUUUAAGUAGCCACAGAGUUGCCAAGGACAACUAACAUUUUCAAUCUAAAAGCGUGUUAAUUAACAAACAUAUUCAUGUGCAAAUCAUGUAUGUGAUUGUUUUUGUUUGUUCGAUUCCAAAUUUACGCAUGUUAACUGAGACUUGCCUGUAGAAAAUCACCGAUGUUUAUAACAAGAGAUCCAUGAAUUGGAAGGACAUUAACCCACUGAUUUUCAUGCAGAAAUUGAAGGCCACCUAUUUGAUCUUGUAGAAGAACUGUGAUGAAGACAUUGUCAGAAUGCUUGCCAGCUCCCAAUGUCAGUUCUGGCUCUGGACAUGCCGGGUAAUAGUGACCAGCAAUUGAAAGACCUUCAGCACAAUCCAUGUCCUUGAGAUGGUUGGGGUUCAGUCCUAGUCCCUCUGAUAUUAGUUCCAACAGUCUAGUCCCCAGUUCUUUAACAAGCUUAGAGUACUCUGGAAAUAUUUUCCUACAAACCAUUUCCAAACAAAUAAAAAACAACUAUCUUAUGAGAUUCCAAAGAAAAUUUUAGAUCAGUGGCUGCUAUAAGCCUGGGACUAAAUGGCAAACUAUCGAUACUGGGUUUAAAGUGUGGACAGAUACCUGCAUGUUACGGGCAACUCUUCUGGAUCAAGGUAAUCAGGAGCCAUAACGGCAUGGAAUGUGUCCCUCCAGUUAGUUGCAGGUGCUUCAUAAAGAUCAAAGUUGCUGUUAAAUACCACUUUUUUAU